UUCCGGUUGAUCCUGCCGGACCUGACUGCUAUCGGAUUGAUACUAAGCCAUGCGAGUCAUUGUAGCAAUACAAGGCAUACGGCUCAGUAACGCGUAGUCAAUCUAACCUAUGGACGGGGAUAACCUCGGGAAACUGAGAAUAAUACCCGAUAGAACAUUAUGCCUGGAAUGGUUUAUGUUUCAAAUAAUUUAUUGCCGUAGGAUGGGACUGCGGCCUAUCAGUUUGUUGGUGAGGUAAUGGCCCACCAAGACUAUUACAGGUACGGGCUCUGAGAGGAGUAGCCCGGAGAUGGGUACUGAGACACGGACCCAGGCCCUAUGGGGCGCAGCAGGCGAGAAAACUUUGCAAUGUGCGAAAGCACGACAAGGUUAAUCCGAGUGGUUUCUGCUAAAGGAACCUUUUGUUAGUCAUAGAACCACUAAUGAAUAAGGGGUGGGCAAGUUCUGGUGUCAGCCGCCGCGGUAAAACCAGCACCUCAAGUGGUCAGGAUGAUUAUUGGGCCUAAAGCAUCCGUAGCCUGCUUUGCCAGUUUUCGGUUAAAUCCAUACGCUUAACGUAUGGGCUGCCGGGAAUACUACAAAGCUAGGGAGUGGGAGAGGUAGACGGUACUCGGUAGGAAGGGGUAAAAUCCUUUGAUCUAUUGAUGACCACCUGGUGGCGAAGGCGGUCUACCAGACACGUCCGACGGUGAGGGAUGAAAGCUGGGGGAGCAAACCGGAUUAGAUACCCGGGUAGUCCCAGCUGUAAACUAUGCAAACUAGGUGAUGCAUUGGCUGAUGCCAAUGCAUGGCCUCAGGAGCGUUUAGUUGCCGCCUGGAGUACGUACGCAGUAUGAACCUUAGGAUUGGCGGGGGGACACCCUAAGGGUGAGCUGCGUUCAUGGAUCCACGCCG
rnacentral:rRNA from 1 species